GAUGAACGCUGGCGGCGUGCCUAACACAUGCAAGUCGAGCGAACAGACGAGGAGCUUGUUCCUCUGACGUUAGCGGCGGACGGGCGAGUAACACGUGGAUAACCUACCUCUAUGUCUGGGAUAACUUCGGGAAACCGGAGCUACUACCGGAUAAUAUAUUCUACCGCUUGGUUCAAUAGUGAAAGACGGCUUUGCUGUCACAUAUAGAUGGUUCCGCGCCGCAUUAGCUAGUUGGUAAGGUAACGGCUUAACAAGGCAACGAUGCGUAGCCGACCUGAGAGGGUGAUCGGCCACACUGGAACUGAGACACGGUCCAGACUCCUACGGGAGGCAGCAGUAGGGAAUCUUCCGCAAUGGGCGAAAGCCUGACGGAGCAACGCCGCGUGAGUGAUGAAGGUCUUCGGAUCGUAAAACUCUGUUAUUAGGAAAGAACAAAAGUGUGAGUAACUAUGCACGUCUUGACGGUACCUAAAGAGAAAGCCACGGCUAACUACGUG
rnacentral:rRNA from 1 species